rnacentral:rRNA from 1 species
AAUCAACGCUGGCGGCGUGCCUAACACAUGCAAGUCGAACGGGAAGGAGGGCUUCGGCUCUCCGGGGAGUGGCGCACGGGUGAGUAACACGUGGGUAAUCUGCCUUUGGGUGGGGAAUAACGAUCCGAAAGGGUCGCUAAUACCGCAUAACGCAGCGGCACCGCAUGGUGACAGUUGUUAAAGGGGGGGAUCGAAAGACCUCUCGCCUGAAGAGGAGCCCGCGCCCGAUUAGCUUGUUGGUGAGGUAAUGGCUCACCAAGGCUUCGAUCGGUAGCCGGCCUGAGAGGGCGGUCGGCCACACUGGCACUGAGACACGGGCCAGACUCCUACGGGAGGCAGCAGUGGGGAAUUUUGGGCAAUGGGCGAAAGCCUGACCUAGCAACGCCGCGUGAAGGACGAAAUCCCUCUGGGAUGUAAACUUCGAAAGUCAGGAAAGAAAUCGAGGGGGGUAAUAUCCCUCUUGGAUGACGGUACCUGACGUAAGCCCCGGCUAACUACGUGCCAGCAGCCGCGGU